rnacentral:rRNA from 1 species
UACGGAGGGGACUAGCGUUGUUCGGAAUUACUGGGCGUAAAGCGCACGUAGGCGGAUUUGUAAGUCAGGGGUGAAAUCCCGGGGCUCAACCUCGGAACUGCCUUUGAUACUGCAAAUCUCGAGUCCGGAAGAGGUGAGUGGAAUUCCUAGUGUAGCGGUGAAAUGCGUAGAGAUUGGGAAGAACACCGGUGGCGAAAGCGCUCUGCUGGGCCGCAACUGACACUAAUGGACGAAAGCUAGGGGAGCGAAUGGG